GACGAACGCUGGCGGCGUGCCUAAUACAUGCAAGUCGAACGCUUCUUUCCUCCCGAGUGCUUGCACUCGAUUGGAAAGAGGAGUGGCGGACGGGUGAGUAACACGUGGGUAACCUACCCAUCAGAGGGGGAUAACACUUGGAAACAGGUGCUAAUACCGCAUAACAGUUUAUGCCGCAUGGCAUAAGAGUGAAAGGCGCUUUCGGGUGUCGCUGAUGGAUGGACCCGCGGUGCAUUAGCUAGUUGGUGAGGUAACGGCUCACCAAGGCCACGAUGCAUAGCCGACCUGAGAGGGUGAUCGGCCACACUGGGACUGAGACACGGCCCAGACUCCUACGGGAGGCAGCAGUAGGGAAUCUUCGGCAAUGGACGAAAGUCUGACCGAGCAACGUCGCGUGAGUGAAGAAGGUUUUCGGAUCGUAAAGCUCUGUUGUUAGAGAAGAACAAGGACGUUAGUAACUGAACGUCCCCUGACGGUAUCUAACCAGAAAGCCACGGCUAACUACGUGCCAGCCGCCGCUGUAA
rnacentral:rRNA from 1 species